AUGGAAGGGCUAACGCACCAGGCUUUCGUGAUCUCUUGGAUUUUGGAUGGACUCUUCUAUCUUAACAUUAUAAAGACAUCAGCCCUCAUCUGUUCUUGUGUUCUCGGCCCACUCUUCUGUACCGCUCCUCUGCUGUCUGGGCACCAUUCUUUAAAGGCACCAUUAGAGCAUGGAUUCAUUUCAAAAAAGAUGCAGGCUCUAGUGCUGGUUGCAGGCCUUUUCUCCUCCAGGGCCAAGGAUAGAACCCGGGCCUCAAACACACCAGGCAAGUAUUCUUCCACUGAGCUACAAUCACAGCCCUCGAUAUUUUUUUAAACCCAAGGUCUCAUUAUCUAGUCUAGGCUGGCUUUGAGCUUGCUAUGUAGCCCAGGUUGACUUAGCACUGGCAAUUCUCCUGCC
rnacentral:lncRNA from 1 species